GACGAACGCUGGCGGCGUGCUUAACACAUGCAAGUCGAACGGUAAGGCCCUCCGGGGUACACGAGUGGCGAACGGGUGAGUAACACGUGGGUGAUCUGCCCUGCACUUCGGGAUAAGCCUGGGAAACUGGGUCUAAUACCGGAUAGGACCACUGCCUGCAUGGGUGGUGGUGGAAAGCUUUUGCGGUGUGGGACGGGCCCGCGGCCUAUCAGCUUGUUGGUGGGGUGAUGGCCUACCAAGGCGACGACGGGUAGCCGGCCUGAGAGGGUGACCGGCCACACUGGGACUGAGAUACGGCCCAGACUCCUACGGGAGGCAGCAGUGGGGAAUAUUGCACAAUGGGCGCAAGCCUGAUGCAGCGACGCCGCGUGAGGGAUGACGGCCUUCGGGUUGUAAACCUCUUUCAGCACCGACGAAGCGCAAGUGACGGUAGGUGCAGAAGAAGGACCGGCCAACUACGUGCCAGCAGCCGCGGUAA
rnacentral:rRNA from 1 species